UACGUAGGGGGCAAGCGUUGUCCGGAUUCAUUGGGCGUAAAGAGCGUGUAGGCGGCCCGGUAAGUCCGCUGUGAAAGUCGGGGGGCUCAACCCUCGAAUGCCGGUGGAUACUGUCGGGCUAGAGUACGGAAGAGGCGAGUGGAAUUCCUGGUGUAGCGGUGAAAUGCGCAGAUAUCAGGAGGAACACCAAUUGCGAAGGCAGCUCGCUGGGACGUUACUGACGCUGAGGAGCGAAAGCGUGGGGAGCAAACAGG
rnacentral:rRNA from 1 species